AGCAGCCGCGGUAAUUCCAGCUCCAAUAGCGUAUAUUAAAGUUGUUGCAGUUAAAAAGCUCGUAGUUGAAUUUCGGGGUUUAGCAGGUCGGUCGUGCCAUCGGUAUGAACUGGUCUCGCUGAUCCCUCCCUCUUGACGAACUGUGAUGCCAUUAAUUUGGUGUCGCAGGGAAUCAGGACUGUUACUUUGAAAAAUUAGAGUGUUUAAAGCAGGCUCACGCUUGAAUACAUUAGCAUGGAAUAAUGAAAUAGGACGUUUGAU
rnacentral:rRNA from 1 species